UACAGAGGUCUCAAGCGUUGUUCGGAUUCAUUGGGCGUAAAGGGCGUGUAGGUGGCGGGGUUAGUCAGGUGUGAAAUCUCGGGGCUCAACCCCGAAACUGCACUUGAUACUGCCUUGCUAGAGUACUGGAGAGGAGAUUGGAAUUUACGGUGUAGCAGUGAAAUGCGUAGAUAUCGUAAGGAAGACCAGUGGCGAAGGCGAAUCUCUGGACAGUUACUGACACUGAGGCUCGAAGGCCAGGGGAGCAAACGGG
rnacentral:rRNA from 1 species